rnacentral:rRNA from 1 species
UACGGAGGGUGCAAGCGUUAAUCGGAAUUACUGGGCGUAAAGCGUGCGUAGGUGGUUGAUUAAGUUAUCUGUGAAAUCCCUGGGCUUAACCUGGGCAGGUCAGAUGAUACUGAUUGACUCGAGUAUGGGAGAGGGUAGUGGAAUUUCCGGUGUAGCGGUGAAAUGCGUAGAGAUCGGAAGGAACACCAGUGGCGAAGGCGGCUACCUGGCCUAAUACUGACGCUGAGACUCGAAAGCGUGGGGAGCAAACAGG